UACGUAGGUGGCGAGCGUUGUCCGGAAUUACUGGGCGUAAAGGGCUCGUAGGCGGCCAACUAAGUCAGACGUGAAAUCCCUCGGCUUAACCGGGGAACUGCGUCUGAUACUGGAUGGCUUGAGUUUGGGAGAGGGAUGCGGAAUUCCAGGUGUAGCGGUGAAAUGCGUAGAUAUCUGGAGGAACACCGGUGGCGAAGGCGGCAUCCUGGACCAACACUGACGCUGAGUGAGCGAAAGCCAGGGGAGCAAACGGG
rnacentral:rRNA from 1 species